GAACCUGAGCUGUAGCUUCCACACAACACCAGCUCUACCCUCAGCUCAAAGCCAAAGCCAAACCUUAAAGACAUGUUCAUCCGGAUCUUGUUUCUUCAAGAGGAAGAAGAAGACUGAAGCCAUGGCGUGUACUCCUUGUCUCUCAGCCGUCCCUACCUGUCCUAAUGAAGAUUCUCACGGGAAGCAAAGGUGUAUGGAGAGGUUGAGUUAUCCUACCUCUAGGGCGCCUUGCUUCAAGAGCUGUUUCUCAUCUGGUUUCCAAGAGAAAGCCAUCUAGGAG
rnacentral:lncRNA from 1 species